rfam:Triticum aestivum genome assembly, contig: Triticum_aestivum_CS42_TGACv1_scaffold_621632_7DS
ACCAAGCUGUCGACUCAUCACAUCCUGGGGUUGAAGAAGGUCCCAAGGGUUCGGUUGUUCGCCGAUGAAAGUGGUACGUGAGUUGGGGUUAGAACGUCAUGAGACAGUUU